rnacentral:tRNA from 1 species
GCCGCUGUGACGGAAUUGGCAGACGAAAGGGACUUAAAAUCCCUCGAUGGAAACAUCGUGCGGGUUCAAAUCCCGCCAGCGGCA